rnacentral:rRNA from 1 species
UACGUAGGGUGCAAGCGUUGUCCGGAAUUAUUGGGCGUAAAGAGCUCGUAGGCGGUCUGUCACGUCGGCUGUGAAAACCCGAGGCUCAACCUCGGGCCUGCAGUCGAUACGGGCAAACUAGAGUACUGCAGGGGAGACUGGAAUUCCUGGUGUAGCGGUGAAAUGCGCAGAUAUCAGGAGGAACACCGCCGGCGAAGGCAGCACUCUGGGCCGGUACUGACGCUGAGGAGCGAAAGCAUGGGGAGCGAACAGG